rnacentral:rRNA from 1 species
AUUGAACGCUGGCGGCAUGCUUUACACAUGCAAGUCGGACGGCAGCACAGAGAAGCUUGCUUCUUGGGUGGCGAGUGGCGAACGGGUGAGUAACAUAUCGGAACGUACCGAGCAGUGGGGGAUAACUAAUCGAAAGAUUAGCUAAUACCGCAUAUUUUCUGAGGAAGAAAGCAGGGGACCUUUGGGCCUUGCGCUGUUUGAGCGGCCGAUAUCUGAUUAGCUAGUUGGUGGGGUAAAGGCCUACCAAGGCGACGAUCAGUAGCGGGUCUGAGAGGAUGAUCCGCCACACUGGGGCUGAGACACGGCCCAGACUCCUACGGGAGGCAGCAGUGGGGAAUUUUGGACAAUGGGCGCAAGCCUGAUCCAGCCAUGCCGCGUGUCUGAAGAAGGCCUUCGGGUUGUAAAGGACUUUUGUCAGGGAAGAAAAGGGCGGGGUUAAUACCCCUGUCUGAUGACGGUACCUGAAGAAUAAGCACCGGCUAACUACGUG